rnacentral:rRNA from 1 species
GACGAACGCUGGCGGCGUGCUUAACACAUGCAAGUCGAACGGAAAGGCCCUGCUUUUGUGGGGUGCGCGAGUAGCGAACGGGUAAGUAACACGUAAUUAACCUUCCCUUUACUUUUGGAUAACUUCAGGAAACGGGAACUAAUACCGGAUAGGAGCUCCUGCUGCAUGGUGGGGGUUGGAAAGUUUCGGCGGUUGGGGAUGGACUCGCGGCUUAUCAGCUUGUUGGUGGGGUAGUGGCUUACCAAGGCUUUGACGGGUAGCCGGCCUGAGAGGGUGACCGGCCACAUUGGGACUGAGAUACGGCCCAGACUCCUACGGGAGGCAGCAGUGGGGAAUAUUGCACAAUGGGCGGAAGCCUGAUGCAGCAACGCCGCGUGCGGGAUGACGGCCUUCGGGUUGUAAACCGCUUUCGCCUGUUACGAAGCGAGAGUGACGGUAAUGGGUAAAGAAGCACCGGCUAACUACGUG